AAGUCUCCUGAAGGAACGUUGAAGACGACGACGUUGAUAGGCCGGGUGUGUAAGCGCAGCGAUGCGUUGAGCUAACCGGUACUAAUGAACCGUGAGGCUUAACCU
rnacentral:rRNA from 1 species